UGAGGAACAUGACCUUCGGCGGGGGAUAGCCGGCCCAACGGCCGGGUAAUACCGCGUACGACCACAUGGGGACAUCCCCGAGUGGUGAAAGCAGCAAUGCGCCGAUGGAGUGCCUCGCGGCCUAUCAGCUAGUUGGUGAGGUAACGGCUCACCAAGGCGACGACGGGUAGCUGGUCUGAGAGGAUGGCCAGCCACAUUGGGACUGAGACACGGCCCAGCUCCUAGGGAGG
rnacentral:rRNA from 1 species